rnacentral:rRNA from 1 species
UACAGAGGUCCCAAGCGUUGUUCGGAUUCACUGGGCGUAAAGGGUGCGUAGGUGGCCAGGUAAGUUCGGUGUGAAAGCUCGGAGCUUAACUCCGAAAUGGCAUUGAAUACUAUCUGGCUAGAGGGUCGGAGGGGGGACUGGAAUUCUCGGUGUAGCAGUGAAAUGCGUAGAUAUCGAGAGGAACACCAGUGGCGAAGGCGAGUCUCUGGACGACUCCUGACACUGAGGCACGAAAGCCAGGGGAGCAAACAGG